rnacentral:rRNA from 1 species
AGUUUGAUCAUGGCUCAGAACGACGCUGGCGGCAUGCCUAACACAUGCAAGUCGAACGAAGCCUUCGGGCUUAGUGGCGCACGGGUGCGUAACACGUGGGAAUCUGCCCUUCGGUUCGGAAUAACAGUUAGAAAUGACUGCUAAUACCGGAUGAUGACGUAAGUCCAAAGAUUUAUCGCCGAAGGAUGAGCCCGCGUAGGAUUAGGUAGUUGGUAGGGUAAUGGCCUACCAAGCCGAUGAUCCUUAGCUGGUCUGAGAGGAUGAUCAGCCACACUGGGACUGAGACACGGCCCAGACUCCUACGGGAGGCAGCAGUGGGGAAUAUUGGACAAUGGGCGAAAGCCUGAUCCAGCAAUGCCGCGUGAGUGAUGAAGGCCUUAGGGUUGUAAAGCUCUUUUACCAGGGAUGAUAAUGACAGUACCUGGAGAAUAAGCUCCGGCUAACUCCGUG